rnacentral:rRNA from 1 species
UAGCUAGUUGGUGAGGUAAAGGCUUACCAAGGCGACGAUCUGUAGCGGGUCUGAGAGGAUGAUCCGCCACACUGGAACUGAGACACGGUCCAGACUCCUACGGGAGGCAGCAGUGGGGAAUUUUGGACAAUGGGGGCAACCCUGAUCCAGCCAUGCCGCGUGAGUGAAGAAGGCCUUCGGGUUGUAAAGCUCUUUCGGCCGGGAAGAAAUCGCAUGGGUCAAUACCCUGUGUGGAUGACGGUACCGGAAUAAGAAGCACCGGCUAACUACGUGCCAGCAGCCGCGGUAAUACGUAGGGUGCGAGCGUUAAUCGGAAUUACUGGGCGUAAGGCGUGCGCAGGCGGUUUUGUAAGACAGGCGUGAAAUCCCCGGGCUUAACCUGGGAACUGCGUUUGUGACUGCAAGGCUAGAGUACGGCAGAGGGGGGUGGAAUUCCACGUGUAGCAGUGAAAUGCGUAGAGAUGUGGAGGAACACCAAUGGCGAAGGCAGCCCCCUGGGUCGAUACUGACGCUCAUGCACGAAAGCGUGGGUAGCAAACAGGAUUAGAUACCCUGGUAGUCCACGCCCUAAACUAUGUCAACUAGGUGUUGGGUGGGUAAAACCAUUUAGUACCGUAGCUAACGCGUGAAGUUGACCGCCUGGGGAGUACGGCCGCAAGGUUAAAACUCAAAGGAAUUGACGGGGACCCGCACAAGCGGUGGAUGAUGUGGAUUAAUUCGAUGCAACGCGAAAAACCUUACCUACCCUUGACAUGCCAGGAACUUGCCAGAGAUGGCUUGGUGCCCGAAAGGGAGCCUGGACACAGGUGCUGCAUGGCUGUCGUCAGCUCGUGUCGUGAGAUGUUGGGUUAAGUCCCGCAACGAGCGCAACCCUUGUCGUUAAUUGCCAUCAUUUGGUUGGGCACUUUAACGAGACUGCCGGUGACAAACCGGAGGAAGGUGGGGAUGACGUCAAGUCCUCAUGGCCCUUAUGGGUAGGGCUUCACACGUCAUACAAUGGUCGGUACAAAGGGUUGCCAAGCCGCGAGGCGGAGCCAAUCCCAGAAAGCCGAUCGUAGUCCGGAUUGCAGGCUGCAACUCGCCUGCAUGAAGUCGGAAUCGCUAGUAAUCGUGGAUCAGCAUGUCACGGUGAAUACGUUCCCGGGUCUUGUACACACCGCCCGUCACACCAUGGGAGCGGGUUCCGCCAGAAGUAGGUAGCCUAACCGCAAGGGGGGCGCUUACCACGGCGGGGUUCGUGACUGGGGUGAAGUCGUAACAAGGUAGCCGUAGGGGAACCUGCGGCUG